AGCUGAUAGCGGUGUGUCAGAAGAAUGGCCUGCAAGACCGCGAUAGUGGAAAUUUUAGCUCAACUAACGUAUGACAGAUUAUAAAGCUCUUGAGGUUAACCUGUCACUUCUACCUACAUAUUCCUUAAUGUGUUCUACAGACUAUUUACCAGUAAUUCAAAUUAAAUCGGAUAAUUCAUGAACAGUUACUGUAAUGGAACUUUAAGAAAGCAUCAUGCCUUGUUGUGGUUUGUGUUUGAUAAGAAAUUAUAACAAACAAAAUUAUGGCUGUUUAAAGUAAUUUACAAUUGUUAGCUGUGAAAAAUUGUUUUUCAAUAAAAGUAUGCAAUUAUGUU